CGGGUGCGACCGGGGCCGCGACAGCCGCCGACACGCUCGGGGCGAGCCGUGCGACGCGAGGACGUCGAGGCCUCGGGGAGCAGCACCCGCCCGAGGGGGAGUCACAGCCGCCAGACCGAUUUGGGCUCGAAACCUCUUUGCGAUUAGCACCCGGACUGCGGAGCGAUUUCCCCCCCGCGGAGGGGGUGGGAUCGCCGACCUUAGAAAUCCUCCAGAGGAGACUGGGCGGUCUCCUCGCCGGGGUCGCGUGACCCCCGGUUAUGUUUGCUGUUGGGGCCGGGGGCUGCACCCCACGAUCUUCCCCGGUCCGCGACAGCUGUGGAAUAAACCCCAGGCGCAGCAGGGCCUCGCUGCCCGUGUCACACCCCGUGCGUGCGGACAGCGAUCGGCGCUCCGCGCUCUCGGCCAAGAACGGACCCAAGGGUCGACUCCCGGGGCUGCCUGACCGCGGCGCCCGCCCGCGCUCCUUCAGGCUCUGUCAGUAGAGACGAGGCUAAAAGCUCGUGCAGGGUCUCGUGCCCGAUGGGCGUCUGACCAGCCGUGCCGAUGCACGCUUUUUCACCGUGCCCCGUGACCUCUGGUGCAACGGCCUUGCUGCCAGAGGGACCCUGCGCGUGGCUUGGUCUGGCCGUCUGCGCGGGCGCGGCGCGGCAGAGCCUGGCUUGCGGAUGGCUGCCGCGGUCGCAAGCUCUAGGUCGGCUUCUGUUUCAGGACCCUGCGGCUCUUGCGAGAGAACCUGGAAGAGGAGGCCAUCAUCAUGAAAGACGUUCCCGGCUGGAAGGUGGGCGAGACCGUGUACCACACUGACCGCUGGGUGACCCCGUCCAUACCUGAGCUCUAUUACCUCCGGCCGAAGGCGGAGCUGGAGAAUGCCUUGCACGGCUUUCAGUGGUACGUCUGAGGCCUGGCGGCAGGAGGCCUCCGUGGUGCGAGCGGCAGGGUGUGCGGGACGUGCGCUGUCCAAGGUCUGUGUACUGCAGUGUGCGACAUUAAACAGUCUGGAAACGAGA